CCUACGGGUGGCAGCAGUGGGGAAUAUUGGACAAUGGGGGCAACCCUGAUCCAGCCAUGCCGCGUGUGUGAAGAAGGCCCUCGGGUUGUAAAGCACUUUCAGUGAGGAAGAACGCCUGGUGGUUAAUACCCAUCAGGAAAGACAUCACUCACAGAAGAAGCACCGGCUAACUCCGUGCCAGCAGCCGCGGUAAUACGGAGGGUGCGAGCGUUAAUCGGAAUUACUGGGCGUAAAGCGCGCGUAGGUGGCUUGAUAAGCCGGUUGUGAAAGCCCCGGGCUCAACCUGGGAACGGCAUCCGGAACUGUCAAGCUAGAGUGCAGGAGAGGAAGGUAGAAUUCCCGGUGUAGCGGUGAAAUGCGUAGAGAUCGGGAGGAAUACCAGUGGCGAAGGCGGCCUUCUGGACUGAAACUGACACUGAGGUGCGAAAGCGUGGGUAGCGAACAGGAUUAGAUACCCCAGUAGUC
rnacentral:rRNA from 1 species